UUGGGCACUCCUACGGGGAGGCAGCAGUGGGGAAUAUUGCACAAUGGGCGCAAGCCUGAUGCAGCCAUGCCGCGUGUAUGAAGAAGGCCUUCGGGUUGUAAAGUACUUUCAGCAGUGAGGAAGGUGGGUAUGUUAAUAGCAUACUCAUUUGACGUUAGCUGCAGAAGAAGCACCGGCUAACUCCGUGCCAGCAGCCGCGGUAAUACGGAGGGUGCGAGCGUUAAUCGGAAUUACUGGGCGUAAAGCGCAUGCAGGUGGUUUGUUAAGUCAGAUGUGAAAGCCCGGGGCUCAACCUCGGAAUUGCAUUUGAAACUGGCAAACUAGAGUACUGUAGAGGGGGUAGAAUUUCAGGUGUAGCGGUGAAAUGCGUAGAGAUCUGAAGGAAUACCGGUGGCGAAGGCGGCCCCCUGGACAGAUACUGACACUCAGAUGCGAAAGCGUGGGGAGCAAACAGGAUUAGAUACCCUGGUAG
rnacentral:rRNA from 1 species